rnacentral:ncRNA from 1 species
AUGAGAAAACACGAUUCGGUUGGUAGUCCGAAUGCAUCAUGAAACAUGGUGUCAGUAUCCUUCCCCUCCUUGGGAUGUCCGUCAUUCCGAUUA